rnacentral:rRNA from 1 species
GAUGAACGCUGGCGGCGUGCCUAAUACAUGCAAGUCGAGCGAACAGACGAGGAGCUUGCUCCUCUGACGUUAGCGGCGGACGGGUGAGUAACACGUGGAUAACCUACCUAUAAGACUGGGAUAACUUCGGGAAACCGGAGCUAAUACCGGAUAAUUUAUUGAACCGCAUGGUUCAAUAGUGAAAGACGGUUUUGCUGUCACUUAUAGAUGGAUCCGCGCCGCAUUAGCUAGUUGGUAAGGUAACGGCUUACCAAGGCAACGAUGCGUAGCCGACCUGAGAGGGUGAUCGGCCACACUGGAACUGAGACACGGUCCAGACUCCUACGGGAGGCAGCAGUAGGGAAUCUUCCCGAAUGGGCGAAAGCUUGACGGAGCAACGCCGCGUGAGUGAUGAAGGUCUUCGGAUCGUAAAACUCUGUUAUUAGGGAAGAACAAAUGUGUAAGUAACUAUGCACGUCUUGACGGUACCUAAUCAGAAAGCCACGGCUAACUACGUG